GCUUGCUAGUAGGCGACGAGUGGCGGACGGGUGAGUAACGCGUAGGAAUCUACCUAGUAGUGGGGGAUAGCCAAGGGAAACUUUGGGUAAUACCGCAUACGAUCUAAGGAUGAAAGGGGGCCUCUCUUUGAAGCUCUCGCUAUCAGAUGAGCCUGCGUAAGAUUAGCUUGUUGGUGGGGUAAUGGCUCACCAAGGCGACGAUCUUUAACUGGUCUGAGAGGAUGAUCAGUCACACUGGAGCUGAGACACGGUCCAGACUCCUACGGGAGGCAGCAGUCGGGAAUAUUGGACAAUGGGGGAAACCCUGAUCCAGCCAUGCCGCGUGUGUGAAGAAGGCUCUAGGGUUGUAAAGCACUUUUAGUAGGGAGGAAGGCUCGAUGGUUAAUACCCAUCGGGAUUGACGUUACCUACAGAAAAAGCACCGGCUAAUUUCGUGCCAGCAGCCGCGGUAAUACGAAAGGUGCAAGCGUUAAUCGGAAUUACUGGGCGUAAAGCGCGCGUAGGCGGCUUAGUAAGUUAGAUGUGAAAGCCCCGGGCUCAACCUGGGAACUGCAUCUAAAACUGCUAGGCUAGAGUAUGGUAGAGGAUGGCGGAAUUUCCUGUGUAGCGGUGAAAUGCGUAGAUAUAGGAAGGAACAUCAGUGGCGAAGGCGGCCAUCUGGACCAAUACUGACGCUGAGGUGCGAAAGCGUGGGGAGCAA
rnacentral:rRNA from 1 species